AUGUUGUUCUCAUGCCUGUUGAUGCAGUUUGGAUCUGUGUCCCCACCCAAUCUCCUGUUCAAUUGUAAUCCCCAAUGUUGGAGGUGGAGCCUGAUGAAAAGUGACUGGAUCAUGGAGAGGUUUCUCCCGAAUGGUUUAGCGCCAUCACCUUCGUGCUAUUCUGGUGAUGUAAGUUUCCUGAGGCUUCUCCAAGACAAGCAGAUGCCAGCAUCAUGUUUCCUGUACAGUCUGCAGAACCCCAAGACAAUUAAAGCUCUUUUAUGUAGAAAAUACUCAGUCUCAAGUAUUUCUUUAAAGCAAUCUGAGAAUUGACUAAUAGAUCUGCUAAUAUACAAUAUCCAUUCUACAGCCCGUGGAUCAAGGAGUAUUUUGACUUUCAAGUGUUAUUACUUAAGAGACAUUUUGUAAGGCUAUAGCUACCAUAGAUAGUGAUUCCCCUGAUGGACCUGGAAAAGUUAAUUGGAAACCUUCUGGAAAGGGUUCACCAUUCUAGAUGCUAUUUAAAACAUUCAUGAUUCAUGGUUCAUGGGAGAAGGUCAAAAUAUUAAUAUUGACAGCAGUUUGGAAGAAGUGAAUUCCAACCCUCAAAUGACUUUGAGGGGUUCAAGACUUCAGUGGAGGAAGUCACUGCAGAUGUAGUGGAAAUAGCAAGAGAGGUGGACUGAGAAAUGGAGCCUGAAGAUGUGGUUGUACUGCUUCAGUCUCAUGAUAAAACUUGAGUGGAUGAGGAGUUGCUUUUUAUGGAUGAGCAAAGAAAGUGGUUUCUUGAGAGGGAAUCUACUCCUGAUGAAGAUGCUGUAAGUAUUGUUAAAAGGAAAACAAAGGAUUUAAAUAUUAUAUAAAUGUUGAUAAAGCAGUGGGAGGGUUUGAGAACUUUAACUCCAAUAUUUAAAGAAGUUAAACUGUGGGUAAAAUGCUAUCAAACAGCAUUGCAGACUACGGAGAAAUCUUUCAUGAAAGGAGAAGUCAUUUGAUGUGGCAAGCCUCACUUUUUUUUUCAUUUUAAGAAAUUGCCACAGUCACCCCGACCUUCAGCAACCACCCCCAAUGAGUCAGCAUCCAUCGACAUGGAGCAAAACCCACCACUAGCAAAAAGAUUACAACUCACUGAAGGCUGAGAUGGCGAUGACCAUUAGCAGUUUUCAACAAUAAAUUAUUAUAAAAUUAAGGUAUGUUCA
rnacentral:lncRNA from 13 species